rnacentral:piRNA from 1 species
UGCAUGAUCUACAGCUGUGAAAGUUUAGCA